UACGUAGGGUCCGAGCGUUGUCCGGAAUUAUUGGGCGUAAAGGGCUCGUAGGCGGUUUGUCGCGUCGGGAGUGAAAACCAGGUGCUUAACACCUGGCCUGCUUUCGAUACGGGCAGACUAGAGGCAUUCAGGGGAGAACGGAAUUCCCGAUGUAGCGGUGAAAUGCGCAGAUAUCGGGAGGAACACCGGUGGCGAAGGCGGUUCUCUGGGCAUGAUCUGACGCUGAGGAGCGAAAGUGUGGGGAGCGAACAGG
rnacentral:rRNA from 1 species